ACGGACACAUCAAGUUGAAACACCGGUUCCCCCCGUACGAUCACCAAAGUUAAGCAGCAUCGAACCUAGUCAGUACCUAGAUGAGUGGCCGUUUGGGAAUCUCUGGUGCUGUAUG